ensembl:lncRNA
CAAAAAUCUUUCAGAGCAGCACUAACUACAGUUUACUACAGUAAAGAUAAUAAUUAUAAUAACAAUAAUAUAUACAAGAAUGAAAAAUGAAUAAAUACCGUAUUACUACACUAUAAGUGACAUCAGCAUAAAGUGGCUUGUGGAAUACAUGUAAUUGUAAAAGUGCAGAAAAUGCCAGCAGUGCAAGGAGUUGUGGAGAUUUUCUCAAAACAGGUGAGUCCUGUGAAUAUGACCAAAAUAUGAGAUAAAACUACCAGAAACAUGUACAAAAUGACCAAAAUAUGAUUGGUUGAUAAUGUAUCAGUGUUGUUAUUGAUUAUUGAUCGGUUGCAGGGACAGAGAUUUGUGUCUGAGUCUCUGCUGUCAUCUAAUCCCUCUCAUGUAAGAUCAUGUCACAGGAGGGGGCGCUACUGACCUCUUGUGGACACAGGCGGUAACGACACGACAUUAUUACUAACUGUAUAGCUGGCGACAUUACAGGUGAGCAGCACUUCCUGUUCAUCUUCAACGUAAAAGCAUCUUUCUUUCGUGUACAUUUCAUGUCAAACGUAUUGCUAAGCGAUUUAGGUCGAUUCAGAAGGAUCUCUGGUGUAAACCAAGUCGUAUUUAACGACAGCUAGCUUCUCCACUUGCUCCGAUUACUUUUGUUGUAGUCUGAGUCACGUCCAAACAGGAAAUGAAUCCACAAUGUAGCUAAUGACAAUCUAUAGCUGCGUCUGUGAUGGCAGCGUUAGCGAGCUAGCAGCUAAUCAGAAGCUAGUGACAAGCUAACUCCAGCGCUACCAGCAGCGUCUCUUUAAAAGGUGCUGAUCACGA